rnacentral:rRNA from 1 species
GACGAACGCUGGCGGCGCGCCUAACACAUGCAAGUCGAACGGAGCUGAGAGAAGCUUGCUUUUCUUAGCUUAGUGGCGAACGGGUGAGUAACGCGUGAGUAACCUGCCCUGGAGUGGGGGACAACAGUUGGAAACGACUGCUAAUCCCGCAUAAGCCCACGGCCCGGCAUCGGGCUGAGGGAAAAGGGUUUAUUCGCUUCAGGAUGGACUCGCGUCCAAUUAGCUAGUUGGUGAGGUAACGGCCCACCAAGGCGACGAUUGGUAGCCGGACUGAGAGGUUGAACGGCCACAUUGGGACUGAGACACGGCCCAGACUCCUACGGGAGGCAGCAGUGGGGGAUAUUGCACAAUGGGGGAAACCCUGAUGCAGCGACGCCGCGUGGAGGAAGAAGGUUUUCGGAUUGUAAACUCCUGUCGUUAGGGACGAUAAUGACGGUACCUAACAAGAAAGCACCGGCUAACUACGUG